rnacentral:rRNA from 1 species
GACGAAGCGAGCGAGCGUUAUUCGGAAUCACUGGGCUUAAAGGGCGCGUAGGCGGGCGGCCAAGUCAGGGGUGAAAGCCCCCAGCUCAACUGGGGAAGUGCCUCUGAUACUGGUCAUCUCGAGGGAGAUAGGGGCGUGCGGAACUUCCGGUGGAGCGGUGAAAUGCGUAGAUAUCAGGAGGAACACCGGUGGCGAAGGCGGGUCUCUGGGCAGUAACUGACGCUGAGGAGCGAAAGCGUGGGGAGCGAACAGG